rnacentral:rRNA from 1 species
AUUGAACGCUGGCGGCAGGCCUAACACAUGCAAGUCGAAUGGUAACAGGAAACAGCUUGCUGUUUCGCUGACGAGUGGCGGACGGGUGAGUAAUGUCUGGGAAACUGCCUGAUGGAGGGGGAUAACUACUGGAAACGGUAGCUAAUACCGCAUAACGUCGCAAGACCAAAGAGGGGGACCUUCGGGCCUCUUGCCAUCAGAUGUGCCCAGAUGGGAUUAGCUAGUAGGUGGGGUAACGGCUCACCUAGGCGACGAUCCCUAGCUGGUCUGAGAGGAUGACCAGCCACACUGGAACUGAGACACGGUCCAGACUCCUACGGGAGGCAGCAGUAGGGAAUAUUGCGCAAUGGGCGCAAGCCUGAUGCAGCCAUGCCGCGUGUAUGAAGAAGGCCUUCGGGUUGUAAAGUACUUUCAGCGGGGAGGAAGGGAGUAAAGUUAAUACCUUUGCUCAUUGACGUUACCCGCAGAAGAAGCACCGGCUAACUCCGUG